rnacentral:rRNA from 1 species
UUAUACAACCUCAACUCAUAUGGGACUACCCCCUGAAUUUAAGCAUAUUAAUUAGGGGAGGAAAAGAAACUAACAAGGAUUUUCUUAGUAGCGGCGAGCGAAAAGAAAUCAGUUCAGCACUAAGUCACUUUGUCUAUAUGGCAAAUGUGAGAUGCAGUGCAUGGAACAUCAAUAUUUUAGUAUGAGAAAUUAAUGAUUUAAGUCCUUCUUAAAUGAGGCCAUUUACCCAUAGAGGGUGCCAGGCCCGUAUAACAUUAAUGAUUACUAGCUGAUGUUUCCAAAGAGUCGUGUUGCUUGAUAGUGCAGCACUAAGUGGGUGGUAAACUCCAUCUAAAACUAAAUAUAACCAUGAGACCGAUAGUAAACAAGUACCGUGAGGGAAAGUUGAAAAGAACUCUGAAUAGAGAGUUAAAUAGUACGUGAAACUGCUUAGAGGUUAAGCCCGAUGAACCUGAAUAUCCAUUAUGGAAAAUUCAUCAUUAGAAUUGUAAUAUUUAAACAAUAUUAUAAUAAUAGUGUGCAUUUUUUCCAUAUAAGGACAUUGUAAUCUAUUAGCAUAUUAAUUUAUCAUAAAAUUAUGGCAUAUUGUUUAUUUCAAUUAAAAUGCUUGCGUUUUAACAUGAAAUAAAAGUUGUAAAUUUGAUAAAGUGCUGAUAGAUUCAUAAGAAUACAGUGCGUUAAUUUUUCGGAAUUAUAUAAUGGCAUGAUUAUCAUUGAUUUUUAUGUUUAUCAUAUGCACUUGUAUGAUUAACAAUGCGAAAGAUUCAGGAUACCUUCGGGACCCGUCUUGAAACACGGACCAAGGAGUCUAACAUAUGUGCAAGUUAUUGGGAUAUAAACCUAAUAGCGUAAUUAACUUGACUAUUAAUGGGAUUAGUUUUUUAACUAUUUAUAGUUAAUUAACACAAUCCCGGGGCGUUCUAUACAGUUAUGUAUAAUGGUAUUUAUAUUAUUUAUACCUCUAACUAGAACGUACCUUGAGCAUAUAUGCUGUGACCCGAAAGAUGGUGAACU